GGGAGAUACUACUGUGAACAAGACAGACAAGGUCCCGGCUUGAAAGAGCUGAACUUGACUGAAAGGCGGGUGGUGACUGAGGCCUCGCGGAUGCAGCGGCUCCCUGCCAGGAUCCCUCUCCAGUUCAGUUUCCCAGGAGCCAGGGAGGGAGCUCGCCUGCUGCACAGCAUGGUCAGGGAAACUUGUGAGGACAUGGAGGCACCGAGACAUUAAGUAACUUGAAGGCCACACAGCUAAGCAGCCAGAGUUCCAAUCCAGGCUACAGAAUGUCAGAGCCUGCAUUCUUAACCACCAGGAAACACAUGGCUUUAGACUUUUACCACAGACACGUGCUCCCAAUGUGCAAACCAGCCAACCCACAAAAACUGCUUUGCAUUUUUAAGCAAUUGCAUUGAAACUCACAGAGUGUUCCAGUGCUCUAGGAGCCCCACUGACCCAUCCCAGGCUGGCCAGAUGGGCUCUUUUCAUAACUGUGUGUCUGCGGCAUCUGACCCUGCUCGUAUCUUCUCCUGGAGGACUUUGAGACAAGACUUCAUCUGGGGACACUGAGAGUCCAAUGAAUGGAGACAUUAGGACACCCCCGACUAGAAAAGACAGACGGAUGUGCACACCGUCACCCUCUACCUCAUUCCACCACAGACCCAAGGUGGCGUAUAGGAAGGCGCACACUGCACAGAAAAACAGAAAACUGGAAAUCCUACUCACAGAUUUCAGCAUCCACCCUGAGGGUGUCUGUGUGAAGAGC